rnacentral:lncRNA from 10 species
GUGCACUCCAGCCUGGGUGGCAGAGUAAGAUCUUGUCUCAAAAGAAAAAAAAAAAACCGGGGACCUUCGCAGUGAGUGUUACAGCUCCUAAGCCAAGUGUUACAGCUCUUAAAGGUGGCAUGGACCCAAACGGUUCCGUGCUGGGGCAGCAGCAGACAGAGUUGAAUAAAGAUGAACAAGCCAUGUCCCUGGUUCCACAGAGGCUCUAGAAAGAGAGAAGUCAUGAGCGGCUGCAGCUCCAGCCAGGCAGAGUAGGAAGGAGCCAAAGAGUUACUUCUGGGAAGACUGGGCCGGAGCUCUGGAGACCACCCUUCUCUACAGAUGCCAGCCCCCAAACUUUCAUUGCCCUUGACUCUGUUUCUGCCAUAUUCCAGAGCAUGUCGGUUAAGGAAUAGAAAUCCUAUUUGGCUUCAAAGUUACAGAAGAUUGUUCUCCUUGGGGCCUGCAGAGAUGUUCAAAGUAUGCCUCCUAGGGAUGACCGGAAUUUGCUUGAAGUGUUAAAAGAAAACCACAAGGCAUAAUAACACAACUAUUGUCCUUGACCCUCAGAUGCAAAAAUUAAAAUCCUCAUUCAUAAAGCAAUUUUGAAAAUCUCAUGGAAAUAUAUUCUCUUUAGAGCUGAGGCCAAAAAAAAUUAAAAAUUUCCUCCCCAAAAGGAAACUGGUUAGCUUGGAAUGAGAGACACAAAAGGCACAGACAGUAAGAGAAGAUUAUCAAGGUACGGAGGCCACUCUAGGUCUCUCAACCCCAAUUCCAAGACUUCAUAGCCCCUAACAUGGGAGAAGACCAGAGACCCAUAAAGGAAUGAAGUCUGGAAUAUAAUUUCUAGUGGAAAGGAGUGCUACAAAGAAGGGAUUAAAGCGUGACAAGGUUGGGGGUUGAUAUUGUAGGGGUCAGCGAGGACACUUUGAGGAGGUCCUAUCAGAGAAGAAAGCUGAAGGACAGGAGCAAAUGCAUGGUGCUGAAAAGAGAAGGAAGAGAGAAAAUGGAAGAUGGGGCUGAGGAAGGUAAUGAAGUUGAGGGGAAGGCAAAGUCAAGGUAGUGUAAGGCAGGAGUUUACAAACUGUCUCUGUAAAGAGCUAGGUAGGGAAUAUUUCAGUUUGGUGGCCAUACAGUCUCUGUUAUAUCUACUCAUCUCUGCUGUUGUAGCGUGAAAACAGCUCCAGGCAAUAUGUAAAUAAAUAGGUGGGACUGCGUUCCAAUAAAACUUUAUUGACAAAGAUAGGCAGAGGGCUGAAUUUGACUAGAGGGCUGGAUUUGACUAGAGGCCCAUGGUUUGCCGACCUUUGUUUUGGAGCCUUGUAGGCCAGGAUGAGAAUUUUACUUUUAUUGUUAAAGGAAUAGAAGCCAUGUGGGGGUUUUAAGCCUAAGAGUAAAGUGAUGUGAUUUGUGUUUUAGAAGAUCAUUUUAGCUGUCACAUGGAGAAAAGAUUGUAAGGCAAGAGCAGAAGCAGGGAGACCAGUUCAAGGCUUUUAAAGUUCUUUGGGCAAAAGAGGCUGGAGACUGUAUCUAAAGUGUCUGUGGCAGGAAUUCAAGUGCUCACCCGCAUCUUUAGAUCUCCCCCUUGAUCCAUGAUGGAACCCUUCCUCUCACUCCUGUGAGUUUUCAUGUGGCCAUGUGAUCAGCUCAGCCAAUAAAAUGCAAGGAGUAGAAGACCUUAAGAACUAGUGCAUGAUUCAGUCUGCCUUUCCCCUACCAUGGUGGUUUAUAACUUCUAGGCACUCAUCCUGCAUAUGCAACCUGGAACUUAAAAAUAA